rnacentral:rRNA from 1 species
UACGGAAUGUGCAAACGUUAUUCGGAAUCACUGGGCUUAAAGAGUCCGUAGGCGGCAUGUUAGGUGAGGUGUGAAAUCCCACGGCUCAACCGUGGAAUUGCGCUUCAAACCGGCGUGCUUGAGGAAGAUAGAGGUGGGCGGAACUGAUGGUGGAGCGGUGAAAUGCGUAGAUAUCGGAAGGAACAUCAGUGGCGAAAGCGACUUCCUGGACCAGUACCGACGUUCAGGCACGAAAGCGUGGGGAGCAAACAGG